rnacentral:rRNA from 1 species
AUUGAACGCUGGCGGCAUGCUUUACACAUGCAAGUCGAACGGUAGAGGGGCAACCCUUGAGAGUGGCGAACGGGUGAGUAAUGCAUCGGAACGCGCCCGGUAGUGGGGGAUAGCCCGGCGAAAGCCGGAUUAAUACCGCAUGAGACCUGAGGGUGAAAGCGGGGGAUCGCAAGACCUCGCGCUAUUGGAGCGGCCGAUGUCAGAUUAGCUAGUUGGUGGGGUAAAGGCCUACCAAGGCGACGAUCUGUAGCUGGUCUGAGAGGACGACCAGCCACACUGGGACUGAGACACGGCCCAGACUCCUACGGGAGGCAGCAGUGGGGAAUUUUGGACAAUGGGCGCAAGCCUGAUCCAGCCAUGCCGCGUGCGGGAAGAAGGCCUUCGGGUUGUAAACCGCUUUUGUCAGGGAAGAAAUCUUCUGGGCUAAUACCCUGGGAGGAUGACGGUACCUGAAGAAUAAGCACCGGCUAACUACGUGCCAGCAGCCGCCGUAA